rnacentral:rRNA from 1 species
AUACGGAGGGGGCUAGCGUUGUUCGGAUUUACUGGGCGUAAAGCGCGCGUAGGCGGUAUAUCAAGUUAGGCGUGAAAGCCCCGGGCUCAACCCGGGAACUGCGCUUAUUACUGAUAAACUAGAGUCCGGGAGAGGGUGGCGGAAUUCCCAGUGUAGAGGUGAAAUUCGUAGAUAUUGGGAAGAACACCAGUUGCGAAGGCGGCCACCUGGACCGGUACUGACGCUGAGGUGCGAAAGCGUGGGGAGCAAACAGGAUUAGAAACCCGGGUAGUCC